rnacentral:rRNA from 1 species
UACAGAGGUCCCAAGCGUUGUUCGGAUUUACUGGGCGUAAAGGGUGCGUAGGUGGUGAGGUAAGUCUGAUGUGAAAUCUCCGAGCUUAACUCGGAAAUGGCAUUGGAAACUACCUGACUAGAGGGUUUGAGGGGGGACUGGAAUACUUGGUGUAGCAGUGAAAUGCGUAGAUAUCAAGUGGAACACCAGUGGCGAAGGCGAGUCCCUGGAAAAUACCUGACACUGAGGCACGAAAGCUAGGGGAGCAAACAGG